rnacentral:lncRNA from 1 species
UCAUUUCAUUUCGUUUUCUAGCAUCCAACUUAGUUUUACAACACUAAGCAUAUAGUUAUCAUUUGUAAUAGCGAUAAUCUGUCACAUCGGGGGGUUAUCGCACCUUUUGAGAUUGAGUUAGGUCACUUCGAGUUGCUGUCGUCUUUAGCUUCAGGAGUCGGAGGCUUAUUUUUGUACCAGAAUCGAAGCUUCAGUUUGAAGCAGGUUCUUAU